GACGAACGCUGGCGGCGUGCUUAACACAUGCAAGUCGAACGGUGAAGCUCCAGCUUGCUGGAGUGGAUCAGUGGCGAACGGGUGAGUAACACGUGAGCAACCUGCCCCAGACUCUGGAAUAAGCGCUGGAAACGGCGUCUAAUACUGGAUACGAGAUCAAGCCGCAUGGUUAUGGUCUGGAAAGUUCUUCGGUUUGGGAUGGGCUCGCGGCCUAUCAGCUUGUUGGUGAGGUAAUGGCUCACCAAGGCGACGACGGGUAGCCGGCCUGAGAGGGCGACCGGCCACACUGGGACUGAGACACGGCCCAGACUCCUACGGGAGGCAGCAGUGGGGAAUAUUGCACAAUGGGCGAAAGCCUGAUGCAGCGACGCCGCGUGAGGGAUGACGGCCUUCGGGUUGUAAACCUCUUUCAGCAGGGAAGAAGCGAGAGUGACGGUACCUGCAGAAGAAGCACCGGCUAACUACGUG
rnacentral:rRNA from 1 species